UAUUAUUAUUUAUUUAUCUGGUCUUUUACUUUUUACCUGCCUCGCAGGUGCAUACAUUAUCGACAUCGUCUUUCCUACUGCACCAUGCUUUACCUCUUCGGCUUUGACCGGCACGUCCUCCCCUCUGGCACCCAGGAAUACCUCUUGCGUGCCUGCGGACACCGAUAGGCCCACCAUCGUCUACAAGGCCUUCACCCUUCUGGUCUUCCGGUUCUUAUCAGCGAGUGGUUGCCUUAUAUCUAGGCGCCUGACCGGCGGACAUCACGAACUUCCCGCCAGCUCCUGUGCACGGGGCCACGACGCCGUGAGCCCUUCGGGACAUGACUCCUGUCGCGCGAGCUGUGGCCUUUGGUAUGUUCGACCUUUGUCUCCGGUCACUGCCAUGGCCCUCUUCUCCGCCUUUCCAGUCCGCUCGUCGUUGCUACCUCCUCCGCGGGUGAUUCCGUCGUAGCUCCUCGUCCUCUCGAGAGUUUCACGGGAUGUGCUCCUGGCUGGACUGCGGCAACCACUGGCUUUGGCAUCCUAUCCCCUGCAGCAGGGACUAGUGAUCGGUGGCUUGUUGGUUCACGCCCACGGGAAAUCAUUUCAGCAUGCCCCCUAUCCAUACACCGCCAAAUCAAACGCUGGGCUUCAGCUUCGAGACGCAGAACUGAUUUCCCCACGCAAGACGGAAUCCAAGUCAGACAGAAUCGUAUUCCAACAGGACAGAAGCGCUCCUUUUCAAGAGCCCGAACCUAACAAGCCGCCGCAUCUUUUGACCUGGCCAUCGGCAACUAUCUCAAGGACCUUGGCCAUGGCAACCAAGGAGCAGCUGUGCUGUCUACUCGACUCUAGAUAGAUCUUUUGUUGUUAGGCUUAAGGAUACAUAACUCUAUAAAUUUAAAUAGUAAAUGUAAUCAACUUGUUUAUUUAUUUAUACUAAGUUAAGUUAUGAUGAAUAAAACUAUUGAAUAAUCA